UCCUCAUGUCACACAGCUGAAGUGGAACUUAUCUUGAACCCUCCUCUGGAGUGGCCAAGACCAGAAGCUCCUCCACUUCCCAAGUGUCUUGAAAUCAUAUUGCUUUUGAGAAAAUGGCUGGAAGUUGGGUUUAUGCCCCACACCCUAAGCCUCCCCACAUGCUUUCAGGCUGGGAAAUUCUCACUGUGCUCUUUCAGUCACGAUUUUCUCCUGCAUAGGGAGGAUAAAUGGACACUCUCCUAGAUCAUGCCUGCCUCUGGACUCAGGGUACUGACUGCCUGGAUGGAGGGGGUGACCGAAUGUGGGCCACACCUGAGUGGUCGUGGAGCCUGAGGUUGGCCAAGCUCUUCAUUUUCUAAUAACCAAGAGUUCUGUAAAAACAUGAAUGACAGGUGAUGUCACUGAAUAACUGACAUGGGAGUGGACAGCUUGAAGAUCCUGGAAAGGAGGCAGGUAAUCAGAGAAAAAAUAACGCUAAAGAUGGAGGAGGCCAACCUCUGUCCAGCUCUGGGAAGAGUCAGCCCGAUUUCCUCCUGGGACCUUCUCAGUAUGGAUUAUGGGUAAGGUAUGGGUAAGACAAGGUCAGCCAUGAACUGUGAAGAAGUAGAAUGCAUUGGGGGUGCUGAUGGAACUAGAUUUGUAUUUCAGGUUUAAAGAUUUCACUAAGAAACUCUGAAGAAUUAGGUUAAAUUCCCUGAGAUUCAGUUUUCACAUCCAACAAAUGGGCCUAGUAAAUGCACCUUCUUCACGAUGAUAAGGGGAAGAUGUCAUGAGGUUACAUUUGCAAAGCAAAUACAAACUCUGGAACCAAACCAGAUGCUGUUCAAGAGAUGAAUUAAUAAAGAUAAUGUGGUACAUAUACCUAAUGGAAUAUUACUCAUUUUUGAAGAAUGAAAUUAUGGCAUUUAUCAGUAAAUAGAUGAAGCUAGAGAAUAUUAUGCUAAGCAAAAUAAGCCAAUCCCCAAAAACAAAAUGUCUAAUAUUUUCUCUGAUAUGUGGAGGCUAAAUCACAAUAAGGAAGUGGGGUAGGGAAUACCAGAGAUACUUUGGAUUAGACAAAGGAAAGUGAAAGUGAAGAGGGUAUGGGGGGAGGAAGAAGAGUAGAAUGAAUUGGACUUUAUUACCCUAUGUGCAUAUAUUGUAAA